UACGUAGGGUGCAAGCGUUGUCCGGAAUUAUUGGGCGUAAAGAGCUCGUAGGCGGUCUGUCACGUCGGAUGUGAAAACUCGGGGCUCAACCCCGAGCCUGCAUACGAUACGGGCAGACUUGAGUUCGGCAGGGGAGACUGGAAUUCCUGGUGUAGCGGUGAAAUGCGCAGAUAUCAGGAGGAACACCGGUGGCGAAGGCGGGUCUCUGGGCCGAUACUGACGCUGAGGAGCGAAAGCAUGGGGAGCGAACAGG
rnacentral:rRNA from 1 species